rnacentral:rRNA from 1 species
ACCAGCAACCACAUCACCCUGCAACUCACAGCUGACCACUCACUGAAGCUCAGCAGGUGUGAACCUGGCCAGUUCCGGGAUGGGAGACCUCCUGGGAAGCUAAGGUUGCUGCUGGGA